rnacentral:rRNA from 1 species
AGUGAACGCUGGCGGUAGGCCUAACACAUGCAAGUCGAACGGCAGCACAGUAAUAGCUUGCUCUUACGGGUGGCGAGUGGCGGACGGGUGAGGAAUACAUCGGAAUCUACUUUUUCGUGGGGGAUAACGUAGGGAAACUUACGCUAAUACCGCAUACGACCUACGUGUGAAAGCAGGGGAUCUUCGGACCUUGCGCGAGUGAAUGAGCCGAUGUCGGAUUAGCUAGUUGGCGGGGUAAAGGCCCACCAAGGCGACGAUCCGUAGCUGGUCUGAGAGGAUGAUCAGCCACACUGGAACUGAGACACGGUCCAGACUCCUACGGGAGGCAGCAGUGGGGAAUAUUGGACAAUGGGCGAAAGCCUGAUCCAGCCAUACCGCGUGGGUGAAGAAGGCCUUCGGGUUGUAAAGCCCUUUUGUUGGGAAAGAAAAGCAGCAGGUUAAUACCCCGCUGUUCUGACGGUACCCAAAGAAUAAGCACCGGCUAACUUCGUG